GAUGAACGCUGGCGGCGUGCCUAACACAUGCAAGUCGAGCGGACGGACGAGGCUUUUUCCUGUCUGCUGCGACCGGCGGGUGGGUGAGUCCCAGGAAGAUACCCUACCUAUGAGGCUAAGGUACCUUCGCGGAAGCUGAUCCCACACAGGAUGAUAUUUUGAACCGCAUGGUUCAACAGUGAAAUACGGUUCUGAUGUCACUUAGAGAUGGUUCCGAGUUGGAUUGGAUAGUGGGUAAGGUAACGGCUUACCAAGGCAACGAUGCAUAGCCGACCUGAGAGGGUGAUCGGCCACACUGGAACUGAGACACGGUCCAGACUCCUACGGGAGGCAGCAGUAGGGAAUCUUCCGCAAUGGGCGAAAGCCUGACGGAGCAACGCCGCGUGAGUGAUGAAGGUCUUCGGAUCGUAAAACUCUGUUAUUAGGGAAGAACAUAUGUGUAAGUAACUGUGCACAUCUUGACGGUACCUAAUCAGAAAGCCACGGCUAACUACGUG
rnacentral:rRNA from 1 species